rnacentral:rRNA from 1 species
GACAGAGGGUGCAAACGUUGUUCGGAAUUACUGGGCGUAAAGCGUGUGUAGGCGGUCCACUAAGUCGGGUGUGAAAGCCCUGGGCUCAACCCAGGAAGUGCACUCGAAACUGGCGGGCUAGAGUAUCGGAGAGGUUGGUGGAAUUCUCGGUGUAGAGGUGAAAUUCGUAGAUAUCGAGAGGAACACCGGUGGCGAAGGCGGCCAACUGGGACGAAUACUGACGCUGAGACACGAAAGCGUGGGGAGCAAACAGG